CCCUUCUUCCUCUCCAACUCCACCGGUGACUACACAUAUACACACAGUCAUUAACAGAAGGACGGACGAAGGAGGCAAGCACAACAAAAAACAUAUCUACACAUAUACACACAAUCAUUAACAGAAGGACGGGCGAAGGAGGCAAGCACAACAAAAAACAUAUAAGAACUUGAAGUUUGAUUUCAGAUUCAAAUCCUAUUGAUUUUCGUUUCAUAGUUUAUCUCGUUCUUCUGCUUUGGAUUUUUAAAAACCAUGGAAUCCGGUGAGUUUCGAGGUUGUCAUUCAAGAUCCGCUCAAGUCUUCACCUCUGUUCCUGUUUAAAUUUUGGUCAUCGCUGGCGUCGCUCGUUCUUCUGCUUUGGAUUUUUUUAAAAACCAUGGAAUCCGGUGAGUUUCGAGGUUGUCAUUCCAGAUCCACUCAAGUCUUCACCUCUGUUCCUGUUUAAAUUUUGGUCGUCGCUGGCGUCGAGUUUCCAAUUCUUGGUUCGUUGUUCUCGUUGCUGUCCCUAUUUGCUUCCCAAAAUCUUGGAUCGAGUAUCAUCGCCUUUGGAUCAAUUUUAAUGCAAAAAAGAUAACAAAAGUUGAAUUGGGUUCUACACUAAGGUCUCAUCUUUACCUUGCUUUUUUAUUUUUGGUAAUAUUACGUGUUUAUCUUUUCUUUUAGCAUGAGUAUUUGAUAUUUUGAUAUGAUAAAUGUGUCUGAUUAUUUGUCUUUUGAUUAUUGGUAGUAAUGUUAUUGGUUAAGAUCGAUUAGGAAAUUGUUUGGCUAAGCAUUAGUUAAUUUGGAUUUAAGGAAAUGAUUUAGAAAGAACAGUAACCAAUGAAUCUUAACCAAACAAGGACGCUUUAACUGUUGGGCCAUAGGAUAUUUGAUCUUGAAUUAAGAGUCCGGGCUGUUAGAUAUUGAUUAAAAGUAAAACCCAGUACAACAUGUUUAACUUAGUUCUACUUUGUUUUAUCACUUUAAUUCCUAGGAGUAUGUUUUAGGCGGACCACACGUGAGUAGGCAAGCUUUAGGAUAUUUGUUAGUUUUGAUGCGAAAGAUCGUUUCCUUAGUUAAAUUUAACUAGAGAAAGCCUCAAAGAAUUUGUAUAUAUUUUAUCCGGGAUAUGCCCAGAAGUACAUGUAAAUGAAGGCUAGAGAUUGGGUGACGUGAGGAAGCGUAGAAUAGAACAUUAAUAUAUAUAUAUAUAUUAUUUUUUUUGUGUUUUUUCCUCAACGAAAUAUUUUAAAAGAUGACUUGAUUGAGUACGCAACUAUACCAGUUACGGAACUUGGAGAAUGUCUAACACCUUCUCCCCGAGUCAAAUAAACCUCUUUACUCGAUUCUCUGGUACAAACUUGGUAUUUGGAGUCUCAAGUGUUUUGAAAGGAAUUUUUUAAGAAAAAAUGGUGACCCUGGCAUACCGAAAUCAAUGUCAGGUGGCGACUCUGAGUAAUUUCCUUUUGAACACAAUUUUGUCACUUUCUAAUUGGAAAACCCUUUUCAAGCUUUACUAUUUUUUUAUUUAUUUAAGAGGGUUUAGUGAAGUUGGCAAAAAGGGCGUGACAUCUCUGGCGACUCUGCUGGGGAAUUACACGUUCGAGCUAGUACUUGAUUUUGUUGGCUUUUAGGAUAUUAGGUUGAGGUUGUUAUAUAUUUCAUUUGCUUUAUUUGAUUUUUGUUUUGUUUAUGUCUUUUUAUUAUUUGCUAGCUGCUUAUUUGUUUACAGUUUUUCUUUUAUCUGUUACUACUUUAUAAAUUAUCAUCAUUGUGCAUAACCAUGUGUCUUCUUUCUACAACAAGUGUUCCGGAGUACGUUUGGCUUCAUAAACUGUCAUCAUUUGCAUAACCAUGAAUCUUUUUUCUGCAACAAGUCUUUCGGAGUACAUUUGAGCGUACACGGUCUUUUUGUGAGUCACUCGGGUUUUUACGGGGUGGUGUGGGAGCGUGGAGUGGGCGGACAGUUAGAGCAGCCGUCAUCGAUCACAUACCGCUCGAAUUGCCUUGUCUAGUAAAUCUAACUUAGGUUAGCUUUUAGGUCAUGCUUAUCUGCAUCAUGUCAUUUAGACCUAGCAGGGCUCGGUCCCAGGUAUCGUGUUUCGUCACUGCUUUGUGGAAAAUCGUUAGGUAUGAAUAUGUUAGAUACAUGUGACUCGAUUGGUGAAAUAGUAUCUCUCCCCCAAAAAGCAUAUUUUUUUACCGAUGCGCAAAGAAAAUAUUUUGUUGAGAAUGAACAAGAUAUUGAGGAAUUGUCCAUACGUAAACUCAGAAUUAUUGAUACGGGCCUUUUCCACAGAAAGGAAAAUCUUGUGUUCCAAUAGAAGCAGAAGUGAUGUGGGUUAUUCAAGAAUCGAAGUCGAUUUCACAAAAAGGAGAAUCUUGUGUUCCAAUAGAAGCAGAAGUGAUGUGGGUUAUUCAAGAAUCGGAGUCGAUUUGCUUUAUAAAAGAAUAUAUCAAUGAACUUCUAUGAAAUGGUUUCACGGGAUUCAGCCAAUUGUCUUGAUCGUGGAAUAUCAUUGAGAAAUAGGAAUCCGGGUUAUCAAAGGAUUUCCUAUGAUUAUUUCUAGUAUGGAAUGAGUCAAUCAUCCACUUUGGUAUCUUAUUGAACAAAAGUGGUGAUAUUGUUCCUCCAUUGAUCAAGAAUUUCGAUUUUUGGGAAGUAUCAUGAUCGUCCAAUAAGAAGGGUUUCAAUUUUUUCAAAUGAACAAUUUGAAGACCUAUUGAUUCUAACAACUGCUUGUAGAGUUGAUCAUUCAGACCUUUCAAUUCAGAGAUGUAGAUCUCGGACCUAUGAAUGGGGAUAUUUCCGAAAGUCACACAGAAAAAAGGAAAUGAGUUAGACAAAAAGAAAAGCAACUUGGACAAAAAGAAACAAAGUGGCUUAGAUAAUUUUUUUUGUCGAUAACCUCAGACCAGUCAAUCGAAUAUUGAUUAAUACGUAAUUGAUCGAACACUACUUGAAAACGGCUCUUCUGCUCCGAAACGGACUGUUCCAAAUGUUCCUGGAAAUUCUUGCUCUCAUUAGACCAUUUGUAUCUAUAUGCAUCAGGAUCCCGAUUCAUGGAUCUCUCGGUUCGAGAAAUAAAAAUAAGAGGCUCGAACAAUUUUUUCUGUUCUGGAUCCCGGUUCAUGGAUCUCUCAGUUCGAGAAAUUAAAAUAAGAGGCUCGAACCAUUUCUUCUGACUCUAUUUCAAGUUCGAUAAAUAUUGAUUGAUCAUAUAUUUCAUUAUAGUUCUAUGAUGCAGAGUAUCCUUUCCUAUUUGAUCCCUUUGAAUUCCAUAUUCGAAGUUGCGAUCAGAUCUAUUCAUUAAAAAGAAUCGAUUCAAUACAUUUCUUAUGUACCCAUAGGUACUAUAUUGGAUUUGAAUCAGAUUUCGGAUCAAUCUAUAUUGAGUGANNNNNNNNNNNNNNNNNNNNNNNNNNNNNNNNNNNNNNNNNNNNNNNNNNNNNNNNNNNNNNNNNNNNNNNNNNNNNNNNNNNNNNNNNNNNNNNNNNNNNNNNNNNNNNNNNNNNNNNNNNNNNNNNNNNNNNNNNNNNNNNNNNNNNNNNNNNNNNNNNNNNNNNNNNNNNNNNACCCCUCUUUUGGAAUCAGAAAUAGAGUUAGGAACUAGAAAAAAGGAGGUAGAACCAAUAAGAUUUCUUUUUCCAUUCAUCCAUGGCCUUAUUCAACAAUUGUUUUUGAUCCAAUCUGCAAGAAUCAAUAGAAAAGGCAAAUCCCUUAUGAUACACCAAAUCCGGCUCGGUUAUCGAUAGAGUGAAUAGAUUUGCCAUUUCUUGAAAUUUCUCUUCUAAUUCAAAAUCGUAGUGUAAUGUGUAUCCUCCCUUGUUCCGGUCAUGGAAUUGAUGAAAUAAAUAAAGAAAAGAUUUUUAUUCAAGAAUGAAAUCUUAUUGGAACUGUCCAUAUCUGGUUCAUCCUUCGGAACCAUAUCACAUCCCGGAUCUGAUGAAAUAGGAUGAAUUGAGACAAUAUUUUUUAAAUACGUAAUUAUCUUGAAUAUAUUAACGAUUUCUUUAUUUUCGGAUCGUCUGGAAGGGACAAAGGAAUGAUCUUGUUGUUUCUUCAACAAUUUCUGAUCCCUUUCAAUCGAAUCGAUCGUUUGGAAGGGACAAAAGAAAGAUCUAGUUGUUUCUUCAACAAUUUCUGAUCUUUAGUGGACCUCUCAUAUGAUUCGAACCCAGAUGAAGUUCUGACCAUCUAUCAGAGAAAAAAAAAUGAACGAGUCUUGUAGGAUUCCCAAGAAAUUAUUCGAUUUCUUCCGGAAUAGAUGAUUAAUCAUCUUCUUCUCACAUUCCAUGAAUAGCCGGAAUGUGAGGAAUAUCCAGAAAGGCAUUUUGAGAAUCGGCCUGGUUCUAUCUCUUUUCGUUCCGUUUGAAGAAAGGAAGGAUCCCAAAGAAUUGAUCUUUCUUUUCGUUGUUGAAUCUCUCUUUGAUUAAUCAAUGUGUGAUAUUCCGAAUCCUCAUUACUAAUGGAAUCCAAAUGAUCUCUGGAUCUUUCUUUUCGUUGUUGAAUCUCUCUUUGAUUAAUCAAUGUGUGAUAUUCCAAAUCCUCAUUACUAACGGAAUCCAAAUGGUCACUGGAUUGAUCAGAAGAUCCUUUCAGUUGGCUAGAAUCCGUUACUUGAACUAAACUAGAUCUUGUGAAAUCAUAUUGAAUAUUUGUCGAUACAUUCUGUAUCUUGCUAAAAUACCGAUCUUUGUAUACCAACCAUACAUUGUCUAACCAAAUCAAAUUCUCUCUCGAUACGUUCCUUAAAAAAUUCGAUUCGGGCGUCCCUUUGUUGUGGAAGCCUAUUCAAAUUUUGUGAAAAAUGAGCUCGUGGCCUAAAAAGACAUUCAACCAUCCCUAUGUGAUACAUGUUGCAUCUUUGAGGGUAAAAGGUCAUUUGGCGGACCGAUGUUUGGGAAAGAAGGUUGAAAAAUGAAGCAAGUAGGACCAAGUUAUAUUUUUCUUUCACAAUUUUUUCAAGAAAAGACAAAAAAAUUUAAAAUAGAAAAUCCAAAAAGAUUUUACACUUUCCAAUUAUUUUCCAAAACUCAAAAAAAAUAAAAAAGAAAAUCCAAAAAGAUUUUACACUUUUCCAUCAUUUUCCAAAAAAAUCAAAAAAAAAAGGAGAAAAAGAAAAUCCAAAAAGACUUUACAUUUUCCAUCAUUUUUCAAAAAGACAAAUGUAUAAUUUUCCAAAUUAGUGUAUUUUUAAAAUAGAAAAUCCAAAAAGAUUUUACACUUUCCCAUUAUUUUUCAAAAAAAAAAAAAAUGAAAAGAAAAUCCAAUAAUAUUUUACACUUUUUCAUCAUUUUUCAAAAGUUCAAUAAAAAAAGAGAAAAAAAAGAAUUAAAAAAGACUCUACAUUUUCCAUCAUUUUUCAAAAAGACAAAUAUAUUUUUUCCAAAUUAGUAUGUUUUAGCUUUCUCUCAUAUCCAAUCUUUCCAAACUACGCAUACUUGAUUCUCGUCUCGGGGCGUGAUACGUAAGCACCCCACAUAGGGUCCAAUCUUCCUUGUAAGUGUUAGGUUUUAGGCUUUAGGGGGUCUUAGCCAAAUCUUGCAUGUCUUGUCACUUUUGGCCACAUCGGUCAUUCUUGCAAAAUGGGGUCAUUUUCGCGAAAGUGGUUCAAUAUACCAUAUCUUAGGAUCCUGAAUACACAACUAGGUGUCACAUUAAUUUAAGGUCCAUCCUUAUUGAGUUUGCAACUUUAGCCACUUCUGGCCAUAUCGGUUGUUUUGCGAAAUGUGUCAUUUCUGCAAAUUAAUUUUUUGGCCCAUGAUUGUUGGGAGUUAAAUCCAUAUAAGCAUUAGUAAGGUAUUUUCAUAUUUGAAUAGUCACCCUUGUUGAUUUUGCACCUAUAGCCACUCUUGGUUAUGUAGGUUAAUUUUCAAAAAGCCCAAUCAUGUCUUGUAUGUGUCCAACAUGAGGUGUUGUGGUGUCGCAUAGUAUCUUGAGUCACUAAUCUAUUUGGUCUUAUUUUUCUCAUCCAGGUAUGAAUUCAUUUACCACAGCUCGAGCGUAACGGAUAUCCCAGGACCACUGCAUUCAGGAGCUACUUGAGGAGUCUUUUCAUAUUUUGAGCAUGUUUUUGAGUCUUUUAGGUGGUUUAAGAGUUUGUAUGUCUUUUGCUAUCAUAAUUCCUAUGAUGUAUUUGAAAGCAAAAAAAAAAAAGAUAAAUGAAAAGUUCAAAAAGAUUUUUGUUUCUUAAUUUUUUUGGUCCAUUACUAUUUCAGAACUACGCUUGAUCUUAUUCAUGAGGGACAUGAUACGUAGGCAACCUACAUAGGAUUCGAUCGAAUUAUUUUUUAAAAAUAAAAAAAGGAAAAAAAGAAGAAAAAAAGUGUGGGACGUGAGAAACAGGAGGAAAAAAGA
rnacentral:lncRNA from 1 species